rnacentral:rRNA from 1 species
AUUGAACGCUGGCGGCAUGCCUUACACACGCAAGUCGAACGGCAGCAUGAUCUAGCUUGCUAGAUUGAUGGCGAGUGGCGAACGGGUGAGUAAUACAUCGGAACGUGCCCUGUAGUGGGGGAUAACUAGUCGAAAGAUUAGCUAAUACCGCAUACGACCUGAGGGUGAAAGUGGGGGACCGCAAGGCCUCAUGCUAUAGGAGCGGCCGAUGUCUGAUUAGCUAGUUGGUGAGGUAAAGGCUCACCAAGGCGACGAUCAGUAGCUGGUCUGAGAGGACGAUCAGCCACACUGGGACUGAGACACGGCCCAGACUCCUACGGGAGGCAGCAGUGGGGAAUUUUGGACAAAGGGCGAAAGCCUGAUCCAGCAAUGCCGCGUGUGUGAAGAAGGCCUUCGGGUUGUAAAGCACUUUUGUCCGGAAAGAAAUGGCUCUGGUUAAUACCUGGGGUCGAUGACGGUACCGGAAGAAUAAGGACCGGCUAACUACGUG